rnacentral:rRNA from 1 species
UACGUAGGGUGCGAGCGUUAAUCGGAAUUACUGGGCGUAAAGCGUGCGCAGGCGGUGAUGUAAGACAGGUGUGAAAUCCCCGGGCUCAACCUGGGAACUGCAUUUGUGACUGUAGAGCUGGAGUACGGCAGAGGGGGAUGGAAUUCCGCGUGUAGCAGUGAAAUGCGUAGAUAUGCGGAGGAACACCGAUGGCGAAGGCAAUCCCCUGGGCCUGUACUGACGCUCAUGCACGAAAGCGUGGGGAGCAAACAGG